CAAUGAUGAUACAACAGCUGGCACCAGUCCUAGAUGACUUGUACUCUUUCCAUGCGGAAUAGCUUUAAGACGACAAAUUGUCUCUACCCCUGAU
rnacentral:snoRNA from 1 species